rnacentral:rRNA from 1 species
AUGGCCGCCGCCGCCGCGGUCGCGGUCGCCACUGGCGCCGACUGGACCGUCGUCCGCCGGCGUGGCGGCCGCCGCCGAGGUGACGUCCCGGUCACCACCUCCCACCUUGACGCCCCGCCGCCACUCCCGUUGACCCCGAUCCCGUGGGCGCCCUCCGACCCGUCCCUCGACCCAGCCCGCGUCUCCCGCCUCCUCGACCGCGCCCGGGCCGCGAUCUCCCGCGUCGAGGCCUCCCGCUUAUACCGCCGCCUCCUCCUCCCCGACUCCCCGCUCUGCCGCCGCCUCGCCUCGCUCGCCCCCGCCCGCCUCUCCCUCCUCGGCGUCGGCAGCUUCGAGUCCUCCCCGGCCGCGCGCCUCCAGCUCGCGCUCGCGGCACUCCUCCGCCGCGACCUCCUCCCGGGCGCCUCCGCCACGGCCGACCUCUUCGACCCCGUCCUCUCCUCCGUCGAGUGCGCCGUCGCCGUCGCCCUCGGCUUCGCCGUCCCGAACCUCGACGACGGGUGCGGCCGCCGCGUGGAGGAGCCCACCCUCUUCUACAUGCCCCACUGCGAGGCGUCGCUCUACGACGCGCUCCUCGUGGCCAACUGGGAGCCCCGCGCUCAGCUCCGCCGAGUCUGCGUGCUCGGCAAUAGCUUCCGGCGGUACGCUGUGCAGGCGGAAGAGAACCGCUCGGGACCCGCCGCCAAGGCCAAUCUUGUUCUCAAGGCAGGGCGGUUCGCGUGGGAGCAGCGGAUCGACGAGGCCGGGGAUGUGGACGACGAGGACUGGUUCGCCCGUGCGUUCAACGAGACGAGCUGGCAUUUCUUCGAGGUGGACCAAGACGUCGACCAGAGGACGGAGAUAAGUUCGCAAGCUUUGUCCUUCGAGAAAUUAUCACUGUAA